AUAGCGCAUUGGAUAGCGCUUUGGACUUCUAAUCCAAAGGUCGCGGGUUCGAACGCCGCACUU
rnacentral:tRNA from 1 species